rnacentral:lncRNA from 1 species
CUUCCUCCUCCACUUCUUCUUUCAUCAACUGACCAACAGGCUUACCAUCGAGCAUAGUUGGUGGGAUAUACUCCAAUACCAUACCAUUUGAUGCAAAUCUAUUCUUCUGGAAGAGAUUUGCCCAACCUUUGGGUGCUGCAUUAGUCGCCUUAGCUGGAUCUGGAUCUGAUGGUUGUUCAGGGUUCUGCAUGAGGACAUUACCUAUCUCUUCUUGCACCACCGGAGGAUGAGAAGGUACCAGAGUUUCAGCUUGUGCAGAAGGUUCCUCCGACUGGGUCAAUGUAACAGUACUCGAUGAAACAGUAACAGGCUUUGAGUUAUUAUCAUCCUUAUCAGCUGCUGUUGGAAGCACGGGAGCUCCAGAUGGCUGCGAAUCUGCAGUUGCAUGAGGCAAUGAAACAAUAUCUUCAGUGGGUUUCAAUGGAACAGUGUUAACCGAUUGUAGCACAGUGUUAACAGUUUUUGGGGAAAUACUGUUGUUUGCAUA